UGGGGAAUAUUGCACAAUGGGCGCAAGCCUGAUGCAGCCAUGCCGCGUGUGUGAAGAAGGCCUUCGGGUUGUAAAGCACUUUCAGCGAGGAGGAAGGUGGUGGACUUAAUACGUUCAUCAAUUGACGUUACUCGCAGAAGAAGCACCGGCUAACUCCGUGCCAGCAGCCGCGGUAAUACGGAGGGUGCAAGCGUUAAUCGGAAUUACUGGGCGUAAAGCGCACGCAGGCGGUUUGUUAAGUCAGAUGUGAAAUCCCCGGGCUCAACCUGGGAACUGCAUUUGAAACUGGCAAGCUAGAGUCUCGUAGAGGGGGGUAGAAUUCCAGGUGUAGCGGUGAAAUGCGUAGAGAUCUGGAGGAAUACCGGUGGCGAAGGCGGCCCCCUGGACGAAGACUGACGCUCAGGUGCGAAAGCGUGGGGAGCAAAACAGGAUUAGAUACCCUGGUAGUCCACGCUGUAAAACGAUGUCGAUUUUGGAGGUUGUGCCCUUGAGGCGUGGCUUCCGGAGCUAACGCGUUAAAUCGACCGCCUGGGGAGUACGGCCGCAAGGUU
rnacentral:rRNA from 1 species